AAAUACAAAAAUCAGCAAGAAAGAGAGUAAGAUUGUGAUUAAUAUAUAGU
rnacentral:guide_RNA from 1 species